AAGAAAGUAAGCAAGGGCGCAUGGCGGAUGCCUUGGCUCUCGGAGGCGAUGAAGGACGUGAUAAGCUGCGAUAAGCUUCGGGUAGGUGCAAAUAACCUUUGAUCCGAAGAUUUCCGAAUGGGACAACCCGUCAUUCUGAAGGAAUGACAUCUUGCAUAGCAAGAGGCUAACGCAGGGAACUGAAACAUCUUAGUACCUGCAGGAAAAGAAAAUAAUAAUGAUUCCCCAAGUAGUGGCGAGCGAACGGGGAUUAGCCCAAACCAAUGUUGUUACGGCAAUAUUGGGGUUGUAGGACCACGAUGUCGCAAGAACUUUAGUGAGAAGAAUUCUUUGGAAAAUGAAACCAUAGACGGUGAUAGUCCGGUAUUCGAAGCUAAACGAAGCGUAGUGGUAUCCUGAGUAGCGCGGGACACGAGGAAUCUUGCGUGAAUCUGCCGGGACCAUCCGGUAAGGCUAAAUACUCCCGAGAGACCGAUAGCGAACCAGUACUGUGAAGGAAAGGUGAAAAGCACUUCGAAUAGAAGAGUGAAAUAGUCCCUGAAACCGUGCGCCUACAAGCGGUCGGAGCAGCGUCAGCUGUGACGGCGUGCCUUUUGCAUAAUGAACCUACGAGUUACUUUUUCCGGCAAGGUUAAGCAUUUCAAAAUGUGUAGCCGAAGCGAAAGCGAGUCUGAACAGGGCGAUUAGUCGGAAGGAGUAGACGCGAAACCAAGUGAUCUACCCUUGGUCAGGUUGAAGGUUAGGUAACACUAACUGGAGGACCGAACCGAUAAGCGUUGAAAAGCUUCCGGAUGAACUGAGGGUGGGGGGUGAAAGGCUAAUCAAACUUGGAGAUAGCUCGUACUCCCCGAAAUGCAUUUAGGUGCAGCCUUGGGAAUUACUACUGUGAGGUAGAGCGACUGAUAAGAUGCGAGGGCUUCACCGCCUAUCAAGUCUUGAUAAACUCCGAAUGCGCAGUAGUUCGAUCCCAGGAGUGAGGGCAUGGGUGCUAAGGUCCAUGUCCUAAAGGAGAAGAAUCCGGACCAUCAGCUAAGGUCCCGAAAUAAUUGCUAAGUUGAACUAACGAAGUCAGAUUGCUAAGACAGCUAGGAUGUUGGCUUGGAAGCAGCCAUUCAUUUAAAGAGUGCGUAACAGCUCACUAGUCGAGGAGUUUGGCGUGGAUAAUAAUCGGGCAUUAAGCAAUUUACCGAAGCUAUGGGAUCAGUAAUGAUCGGUAGGGGAGCAUUCCACUCUGCGUCGAAGGUGAAGCGUGAGCUUUGCUGGAGCGUGUGGAAAAGCAAAUGUAGGUAUAAGUAACGAUAAAGGGGGUGAGAAACCCCCUCGCCGAAAGACUAAGGUUUCCUGAUCAACGCUAAUCGGAUCAGGGUUAGUCGGGUCCUAAGGCUCAGCCGAACGGUGAGGCCGAUGGCAGAACAGGUUAAUAUUCCUGUACUACCUUAAGGAGUGACGUGGAGACGGAGCAGUGAUAGCGCCGCGGACUGACGGAAUAGUCCGUUGAAGGGUGUAGAUGUUGAUCUUUGCAGGCAAAUCCACAAAGAGAGUCGAACCUGAUAGUAUACCAAAUUCUUCGGAAUAAGGUAAUAGUGCGUGUAAGCAUACUCCCAAGAAAAUCCGCUAAACUUAAUCUUUAAGGUACCCGUACCGCAAACGGACACACGUAGUCGGGUUGAAUAUACUAAGGCGCUUGAGUGAUUCACGGUUAAGGAACUAGGCAAAUUGACCCUGUAACUUCGGGAUAAAGGGUCCCAACGAGAGUUGGGCGCAGAGAAUAGGUCCAGGCAACUGUUUAACAAAAACACAGGGCUGUGCCAAAUUGAAAGAUUACGUAUACAGCCUGACACCUGCCCGGUGCUGGAAGGUUAAGAGGAGAUGUCAUCGCAAGAGAAGCAUUGAAUUGAAGCCCCAGUAAACGGCGGCCGUAACUAUAACGGUCCUAAGGUAGCGAAAUUCCUUGUCGGGUAAGUUCCGACCUGCACGAAUGGUGUAAUGAUCUGGACACUGUCUCAACCGUGAGCUCAGUGAAAUUGUAGUAUCGGUGAAGAUGCCGAUUACCCGCGAUGGGACGAAAAGACCCCGUGAACCUUUACUAUAGCUUAACAUUGAAUUUGGGUAAUUGAUGUGUAGGAUAGGCCGGAGACUUCGAAGCAGGUACGCCAGUAUUUGUGGAGUCGCUGUUGAAAUACGGCCCUUUGAUUAUUUGAGUUCUAACUCGUAGUUGCGAGGACACUGUUUGGUGGGUAGUUUGACUGGGGUGGUCGCCUCCAAAAGUGUAACGGAGGCUUCUAAAGGUGCCCUCAGGACGAUUGGUAACCGUCCGUAGAGUGUAAUGGCAUAAGGGCGCUUGACUGGGAGACAGACAAGUCGAUCAGGUAGGAAACUAGAGCAUAGUGAUCCGGUGUUUCCGCAUGGAAGGGACAUCGCUCAAAGGAUAAAAGGUACUCCGGGGAUAACAGGCUGAUCCCUCCCAAGAGCUCAUAUCGACGGAGGGGUUUGGCACCUCGAUGUCGGCUCGUCACAUCCUGGGGCUGGAGAAGGUCCCAAGGGUUGGGCUGUUCGCCCAUUAAAGUGGCACGCGAGCUGGGUUCAGAACGUCGUGAGACAGUUCGGUCUCUAUCUAUCGUGGGCGUAUGAAAUUUGCGUGGCUCUGACACUAGUACGAGAGGACCGUGUUGGACUGACCGCUGGUUUACCAGUUGUGCCGCCAGGUGCAUCGCUGGGUAUCUAAGUCGGGAUUGGAUAAGUGCUGAAAGCAUCUAAGUACGAAGCCAGCCACAAGAUUAGAUUUCUUAGGGUCGUUAAAGACGAUGACGUUGAUAGGAUGCAGGUGUAAAGGUGGUAACAUCAAAGCCGAGCAUUACUAAUUGCCCGUUCACUUUCUUUC
rnacentral:rRNA from 1 species